rnacentral:lncRNA from 1 species
GCUGAUGGUUCCCUGAGGACCUUGAGGGCUGAGAGUGAAUAUCUGAAAGGAGAGAAGGGCCGGGGAACGAGCCCAAAGCCUCCCUGAGGUUCCUGAGCAUGGGAGAAACGUGGUCAGCAAACAUAAGCCACAGAGCCCAGACCAUCUGCCCAGGCUCAGUGUGGUUCUGCUCACCAUGGAGAGACAGGUUCUCCGUCAACCUGCCCAGAUCAAUCUCAUGGACAUCGAUCCCUGAGGUUAUCCCCUGCUGCCAACUGCUUGAGGAGGAAGAAGGUCAAUGGGAUUCUGCCCACCUGGAAAAGAGGGCUUCUCCCCCAACCUGCACACAUCAGCCUCAUGGAAAUCUGGCCUUGAGAUUGUCCCUUGCUUCCAACAACCUGAAGAGGCCAGAAACAGAAGCCACAGCCAAUGGUUUGUCAAAAAGAGGCCAGGAAUAGAGGAGAGCAAUUUCACUAGGAGAGCUAUAAACACUUCCUCAACGGGUCCAGACUGAUUGGAACCAAUAUUGUAAUUAAUAAAAUUCUGCAGGAAAGCAUAAACUAGUAAGAUUGACCUAUUAUAUGAAACAUUCCACUCUGGCCUACAUGAAACAUACUCCUAUUCUAACAUAUUAGCA